AAGCUUUUGGGUUUCCUGGCCCUGGGAGCUCUAAACAAUUAGUCUGUCUGCCCCCAAGUAGCCUCAAUCCACCUGGCUUCUUCCCAGGGCCACUUCCUAUACUCUCGAGCCCUCCUGGUCUUUUAUAAAUCACAAACUCCAAAGGCUAUUUUCCCUGGAGUCCCUCAUAGUUGGCUCCCUCUUACAACUGCAGGCUGCUCUUACUUUCCUAGAAAGAUUGCCCUUAGUCACCUUACCAUUUGUCAUGUGACUUCACUCACAAGCUAAAUCUGACACUGCUGCAGCUGAUCCCCAACUUUCUUGAAGGGACAGCUGACCCUCUGAAAGAGUACCUAAAAUAUCUUUAGAUUUUUCAUUGUCAACAUCAGAAGGGAAGCAGAAAAGCUGAUCAGUGAACUCCUAUCCAACACUACAGACACCAAGGUAAUGAUUGACACAGUUGGGAUCAGUUUACUGAAAGGGAUAAGGUGCAGAAUUGCAGAACUGAAGACAAAAUUACACAAGGACUAUUCAACAAAAUUAGAAAAACUGCAUUUACUAGAGAGUGAAACUGAAGCCCCCAGGCAGCUUUAUCAGCAAAUGAAAACUCUUUUGGAACAACAUUCAAAUUCAGUACAGUUUCUUCAAGAGGAUAAAAAACUCAGGGGCAAGAUGGAAAAACUUAUAGAAGGAAGGUCAUUGUAUCAGGAUCCAUCAAAGUAUAAAAUUUCAGUGAGACGAUAUUUUGAAGAAUUGAUCAGAGGAAUCAACAUCAAGGAGUAUAUCUCUACUACAUCCGAUGAAAUGUUUGCGAGUACUAGUGACCUGUAUGAAGCAUGCAGGCCAGAAUGCCCUGCUUUUGCUUUUUCAGGUGAAAGUCCUGAUCAGUCCUUCUGCAAAAGAGUAUUAGGCUUAUUUGAGAAAUCAGGUAGCAAGGAGCAAGAUCUUUUCACAAAAGCAUCCUGCCCUGACUGUAGCAGUACACCAGGUACUAGCGUUGAUUCUUCACUCUUGAAAGAUUAGUCAAAAAUGUAAAAUAUUAAAAAAACAAAUCUCCUGCAGUUUACUUGUUGGAAUUUGCCAAUUAUAUAUGCUGCCUAUAUUUCCUACAAACCAAAAAAUAAAAUAGUUGUAAAUGGAAACAGGUUGAAUUGACACAUACCCUCUUCUGUGCCUUAUUGCUUCAUUAUUAUUUCACAGAAUAACAUUGUUUGGAAGGUAGUGGUAGGAAAGCAACCUAAAAGAAGGUGGAAUAAAUUACAAGAAUAGUAAUUUAGAAAAAUUAAGCAGAAGAAACAGAUUCUGUGCAGCAAACUGUAGUAUGUAUAACAUUUCUCACUGUGGCCUGAUUUUUGUAAGUGCUGAGCAAUCACACAAUGGGAACUGCAGGUGUUCAGCACCUCUGAAAAAAAAUCAGAAGUUUAAUGCUUAUGUUUGAGCCCUAGGAAACUUAUUCUGACUCGCCAUAUUUGGAUAAGUACAAUGAAUUGCUCAUAAAUUUACCUAUUAAUGCAAAUGAAUGUGGUCCAUGAAGGAAGUGUCAACAUUAUUUAAAAUGUAUGUCUCAAGAAAGAAAGAAAGAAAGAAAGAAAGAGACUAGCCUACUGUAUAUAUGGCAGUCCGCAGUGUGUAUUUCUCUCUGAUCGUCCUUUUCCACUGCUGGAGCACA